ACGGUUACCUUGCUACGACUUCACCCCAAUCGCUGACCCUACCUUAGGACGCUUCCUCCCUUGCGGGUUAGAUCACGUACGUUGGGUAUUGCCAACUCUCAUGGUGUGACGGGCGGUGUGUACAAGGCCCGGGAACGUAUUCACCGCGACAUGCUGAUUCGCGAUUACUAGCAACUCCAGCUUCAUGUAGGCGAGUUUCAGCCUACAAUCCGAACUGAGACAAGUUUUUGAGUUUUGCUCCACCUCACGGUCUUGCUUCUCUUUGUACUUGCCAUUGUAGCACGUGUGUAGCCCUAGACAUAAGGGGCAUGAUGAUUUGACGUCAUCCCCACCUUCCUCCCGGUUAACCCAGGCAGUCUCGCUAGACCGCUCAACUAAAUGGUAGCAACUAACAAUAAGGGUUGCGCUCGUUGCGGGACUUAACCCAACAUCUCACGACACGAGCUGACGACAACCAUGCACCACCUGUCUUCCUGUCCCCGAAGGAACUUCCCCGAUUAAGGGUAAUGCACGAGAUGUCCAGUCUAGGUAAGGUUCUU
rnacentral:rRNA from 1 species